GACGAACGCUGGCGGCGUGCCUAAUACAUGCCAGUAGAACGCUGAAGCGAGGAGCUUGCUCUUCUUGGAUGAGUUGCGAACGGGUGAGUAACGCGUAGGUAACCUGCCUUGUAGCGGGGGAUAACUAUUGGAAACGAUAGCUAAUACCGCAUAACAAUGGAUGACACAUGUCAUUUAUUUGAAAGGGGCAAUUGUUCCACUACAAGAUGGACCUGCGUUGUAUUAGCUAGUAGGUGAGGUAAUGGCUCACCUAGGCGACGAUACAUAGCCGACCUGAGAGGGUGAUCGGCCACACUGGGACUGAGACACGGCCCAGACUCCUACGGGAGGCAGCAGUAGGGAAUCUUCGGCAAUGGGGGCAACCCUGACCGAGCAACGCCGCGUGAGUGAAGAAGGUUGUCGGAUCGGAAAGCUCUGUUGUAAGUCAAGAACGGGUGUGAGAGUGGAAAGUUCACACUGUGACGGUAGCUUACCAGAAAGGGACGGCUAACUACGUG
rnacentral:rRNA from 1 species